AGUGUGGUGUCGCAGGUCGCAUCGAGCGCCCGUUUCACUCCGCGCCCCAUAACGAACCGCCACGUCGCCGGAAAAACACACUCGGUGUUCCAGCAACAUUCCAUAUUUAAAUUUAAAAGUGACUUUUUGAAUAGUGCAGUGCAACCAUGUUUAUGUUAUUUAUCCUCCUCACUGUGUAUCUAAUAACCUUAUGUCACGGAUGAGGCGUGCGUAAAAAUAAUUGCUAUGAAGGAUUUGGGAUUAUCAGGGUGAAAUAAAGGAGUGUCUUGUGAGGGUGCCGGCUUUUGUCGGCCACGGUUGUAUUUUGACUUCUGAUGGGUGACGCAACAAUAUGUAGACAAAAUUUUUGAUCGUUACAGCAGCAACAAAUGAGCUACUACUAUGAAUAUUGCCGUCUUUCGCCGCUUUAUUGAAACAAUUAACUCAGAAAAGAAACACUAAAACUAACAUAGUGAUCAAAACUGCUUCAGAAACAGUCAACGACACCUUCGAAAGAAAUCACAAUCCUAAGCUAUUAUCUCUCAUCCCAUUCAAGUCGUUAGUUGAGUGCCCAAAUGUCCCUUGAAUUAUUUAACAUGUCAAAUAUCCUCUUCAGCCCUUUGUGACAAAACUCAGCCUCAAAUAACAUUAGUGCUUGUCGUUUCCAAUUUGACUCAGGUUUGUCUUAAUGGAAUUUGGUCGUCUGUUUCAAUAAAUAAUGGUGUAAGUGUUUUGAACUUAUAAUUAAAUUAGUGGUUAAUAACCACGAAGACGUGGGUGAUGAAGAACAUAACAACAACUUGGAAAUGAUGCCAAGAUAGUGAAUGGUUAGGGUGCGAUUACAUUACCGACGCAAUAGCGAUUAUAGAAAACGACAUUUAUUUGCAAUAUAAUACAUAUUUUGUGAAAGAUUUAAAAGUAAUUUAAUGAUUGUGGAAAAACUCGCGGAAUUAGAAGAAUUGAUGGAGUCGAUUCGAGAGCGUUUAUAGCAAAAGUUAUUCUGUGAAGGAAUAUUUUUUACCAACUAAAUUUGUAACUAAUGAACGUGCGAACAAUGCAUGCGAGU